GAUGAACGCUGGCGGCGUGCCUAAUACAUGCAAGUCGAGCGAACAGAUGAGGAGCUUGCUCCUCUGACGUUAGCGGCGGACGGGUGAGUAACACGUGGAUAACCUACCUAUAAGACUGGGAUAACUUCGGGAAACCGGAGCUAAUACCGGAUAAUAUAUUGAACCGCAUGGUUCAAUAGUGAAAGACGGUUUUGCUGUCACUUAUAGAUGGAUCCGCGCCGCAUUAGCUAGUUGGUAAGGUAACGGCUUACCAAGGCAACGAUGCGUAGCCGACCUGAGAGGGUGAUCGGCCACACUGGAACUGAGACACGGUCCAGACUCCUACGGGAGGCAGCAGUAGGGAAUCUUCCGCAAUGGGCGAAAGCCUGACGGAGCAACGCCGCGUGAGUGAUGAAGGUCUUCGGAUCGUAAAACUCUGUUAGUAGGGAAGAACAAAUGUGUAAGUAACUAUUCACGUCUUGACGGUACCUAAUCAGAAAGCCACGGCUAACUACGUG
rnacentral:rRNA from 1 species